rnacentral:rRNA from 1 species
AGGAAUAUUGGUCAAUGGACGAGAGUCUGAACCAGCCAAGUAGCGUGAAGGAUGACUGCCCUAUGGGUUGUAAACUUCUUUUAUACGGGAAUAAAGUGAGGUACGUGUGCCUUUUUGUAUGUACCGUAUGAAUAAGGAUCGGCUAACUCCGUGCCAGCAGCCGCGGUAAUACGGAGGAUCCGAGCGUUAUCCGGAUUUAUUGGGUUUAAAGGGAGCGUAGGCGGACGCUUAAGUCAGUUGUGAAAGUUUGCGGCUCAACCGUAAAAUUGCAGUUGAUACUGGGUGUCUUGAGUACAGUAGAGGCAGGCGGAAUUCGUGGUGUAGCGGUGAAAUGCUUAGAUAUCACGAAGAACUCCGAUUGCGAAGGCAGCCUGCUGGACUGUAACUGACGCUGAUGCUCGAAAGUGUGGGUAUCAAACAGGAUUAGAUACCCUGGUAGUCCACACAGUAAACGAUGAAUACUCGCUGUUUGCGAUAUACAGUAAGCGGCCAAGCGAAAGCGUUAAGUAUUCCACCUGGGGAGUACGCCGGCAACGGUGAAACUCAAAGGAAUUGACGGGGGCCCGCACAAGCGGAGGAACAUGUGGUUUAAUUCGAUGAUACGCGAGGAACCUUACCCGGGCUUGAAUUGCAACUGAAUGAUGUGGAGACAUGUCAGCCGCAAGGCAGUUGUGAAGGUGCUGCAUGGUUGUCGUCAGCUCGUGCCGUGAGGUGUCGGCUUAAGUGCCAUAACGAGCGCAACCCUUAUCGAUAGUUACCAUCAGGUUAUGCUGGGGACUCUGUCGAGACUGCCGUCGUAAGAUGUGAGGAAGGUGGGGAUGACGUCAAAUCAGCACGGCCCUUACGUCCGGGGCUACACACGUGUUACAAUGGGGGGUACAGAAGGCAGCUACACGGCGACGUGAUGCUAAUCCCGAAAGCCUCUCUCAGUUCGGAUUGGAGUCUGCAACCCGACUCCAUGAAGCUGGAUUCGCUAGUAAUCGCGCAUCAGCCACGGCGCGGUGAAUACGUUCCCG